GGAAGGGUUAAUGGCAGGGCUGGGCUCAGUUCUCCAAGCCCAGUCAGCAUAAAGGGCUGGGUUGUGAGUGGUUUUACUCAGGACAGCUGAGAGGAAGUGUUGGACUUGGGGGUUGGGGGCUUUCUGGACAGGAUCGGCUGAGCUGGGAUUUUGUUAAAUUUGGGAGGCCGGGCUGGAUUUUGACCCAGAGAGAGUCUGACAAGUCAGGCCAUCUGUUUUUGUUACACUCCUAUCUAGAGAUACAUCUGAACCCAGUUCCAGACGUUUAGCACUCAUCCGCCUCAAAUGAGAAGGAUGCUAAAAGGAGGAAGUGAUCUGACCCAGAGCUCCAGAGAAUGAAUCAAAGAGAACUGUCUCUCUUGGAACAAUCAUGCAGCUACUGUCUCAGACUGCUCUAGUCCUCAAAAAACAACCACAAAGUACUCCAGGAUUUUGAGUGGGGCAAAAGAACUCUGGAGCUUUGAAAGUUAUUUACUGUCCAACAGAAUUCACUAACUACGACUUCAACUAUUACUGGGUUCACAAAAAGCUGUGACACUGGGUCAGGAAGCCUUUCUGUGAGCAUCCUGCCAGUCACUGGCAAGCCCUGGAACAGCUGAUCUCUAACUCCAAACCAGAACCUAGCUGGACAGCGUGACCACUGAAAUGGAAGGCAACAGACAAUCCACCCCAAUGUCUGAUCAGUCCCAACCUUCCUAUGAGGAUACCUCCGGAUGUCUUCAGUUGUUCUAAACAAAAUAGAAGCGAUUUUAAUGGGCUAAAACAAAAAAAUAUAUGGAAGAUAAGGGUCCGACAAGGGAGAUGGUGGAGGGGAAAAGAAGUGACCUACAGACCAAGUCAAACAAAGGAGUCAUCAGGUAUGGGAACCUGAGGCACCGAAGGCUGCUCCUGGGGUGAGAACAAGGACAAGAGCCGCCCUUCC
rnacentral:lncRNA from 1 species